ensembl:snRNA U6 U6 spliceosomal RNA
GUGCUUGCUUCGGCAGCACAUAUACUAAAAUUGGAAAGAUACAGGGAAGAUUAGCAUGGCCCCUGCGUAAGGAUGACACGCAAAUUCAUGAAGCAUUCCUUAUUUUU